UGGGAAUGGUACCCAGAUCGUCUGUUGUGAUGACAACUCUGUGUAUGCACGAAUGAUGGACAGAAGUGGGCUACAGCUGAACAAUGGGAAGCAUCUACCCUACCUCUGCAGAAAAGGGGCACAUUGCACUUUCCCUAAGAUAUCCAUGCACUGAGAAUAUGGACCUUCCCAGCAUCCCAGUCUGAAGCCCAGCAAGCUCAACCCCAGCUGACAUCCCAGCAAUGAAAAUCUCCCAGGAAGGAAAGACAUUCCCACAAAGUAUGCUGGUAUUCAAGUAUGUUCAAUUCAAAGGAAAAGGUGCCUUGUGUCUGUGCCUCUUUGAAUAAAUGGAUAAUACAG